rnacentral:sRNA from 1 species
AACACACUAUGUUGGACUUAGAG